GACAGAGGGUGCAAACGUUGUUCGGAAUUACUGGGCGUAAAGCGCGUGUAGGCGGCUUCGCAAGUCGGGUGUGAAAUCCCACGGCUCAACCGUGGAAGUGCAUUCGAAACUGCGAGGCUAGAGUCCUGGAGAGGAAGGUGGAAUGCUUGGUGUAGAGGUGAAAUUCGUAGAUAUCAAGCGGAACACCGGUGGCGAAGGCGGCCUUCUGGACAGUGACUGGACGCUGAGACGCGAAAGCGUGGGGAGCAAACAGGG
rnacentral:rRNA from 1 species